AUAAAUUGUUGCACUGAUUCGAAGAUUGGGUUUGACAAACAAUUUACACAUUUUCAUGAAUGCCAUAUUUGAGAUUGACAAUUUUUUUUUUUUUCCUGUUAGCCUCAUAUGGUGGUGGUGAAAGUAGACUGCAUAAGAGGGCAUCAGGAGGAGAUAGGGUUAUGUGUGAAAACCAUCUUUGAGCAACGCUGGCUUGUCAAUCAGAGCAAACAUGCAUUAUCAGGACAUUGUGAGUGAAGUUAACCCUCCUGACCUCAUCUCCGUGCCUCUCUUGUGUUGCUUUGUAGGAUUGCUGAGGUUGAGGACGAGGCCAUCAUGUCUCUGGACGCAAAUGGAGGUUUGGCAAGUUUUCAAGCUUCCUGUCACCAUGGAAACAGCCGAAGUGACCUGGAGGAUACACUAUGGAAAAUGAAUUCCAAGCAUGAACACAGACUAUUCAUGGAAAGGAAGUUAAUGGGCAUUUAAGGGUACACCAACAACAGCUAUCCUUCUUAUUCUUCACCGACAGCUAAUAGCAUAAUGACAACCAUUCACUUAUCUGCAGCUCUUCACAACAACUGUAACUGACCCAUAGAAGCUGUAACUGAUCUCCUGUCCAAUCAGAUCUCUAGCAAACACUCCUAACCAAUAUAUCUUUUAUCAAGCUUUCAGCACUUUUCCACCACCAGUGUUUGAUAUUUGUGGAGACAGCCCUAAUUACAUCUGACAGGCAGGUAGAAGAACUUGAGCUCUGGUUACCAUUUUUUUCAGCUGGUUUUCUCUUUAUUAAAUCACAUUUUAUUUGAAUUUCUUAUAGCUAACACGUAGAAGCUAAUUUCUGCCUCAGAGUAAAAAAUACAAAAAUUGAGAGUUUAAAAUAGGAAAUAAAAGUUUAAAUUAAGAAAUAAAGCUGUAUAUGAUGUUGGUUUUUAAAUCAUUAUUUACAAGCAACAUAUGAAUGGCAAGUAUUUCAUUGUGUUAUAUAUUUUUGGAUUUGUUCUGCCUUUGACUUUGUAGCUUAUGAAAGCUGCUAGUAAAGAGCAAGGAAAUGUGCAGAUGUUCAUGGUGCCGUCAGCCAAACAGCAUUGUCAUGAUGAUGUCUCUCUGCUACUGCAGGGUCACAUGACAUUUAUGGCUCAGGUCAUUGGCGUUAUGUAUUGUAGAUCACUUUUGUUAUAGAAUGAUUUUUAUUUUUUUUUGUAUUGUUUAAUAUACUACUACAGCAUUUUUUAUUACCAGUAUUGUCAUUUUAAUUGUAAUAAUGUUGUGCUUUUCUCAUUUUUAUUAGUUGUUAUGUAUGUUUAGCUUAAUUUCUUUUACAGUUUUAUUUUAUAAUUUAUUAUUAUUAUUGUUAUUUCUUAUAUACUGUUAUUUCAAUUAACAAAAAUGUUUUAUUUUUUUAUUUCUUUUAUCUCUCUUUUUUGGAGUUUAAGUUUAAUGUAACAACAAGGUUUAAUAUUUUAUUUAAAUUUUGUAUUUAAUUUUUAUUUUUUGGGGGGGAGGGGAUGACCUACUUGUGCUAAAAAAAAAACUGAAAAUGAUUAUGGUCAUCCAAUUUUUGUUGCCACUAUUGCUCUCCCUAUAGGCAGGAAUAUAACAAUAGACAUUAAGACAAUAGCAUUACUAUAUAUACUUAUUAGUUAAAGUUUUCUAUAUAAACCCCUUUCAUACUAAACCCACUAUUUUUUUUUUUCUUCUGCUGGGCUUGGUUGACAUAUUCUUUAAAAGAGCACCCCUUUCAUUUGUUUUUCCAGCUUUGUUUGCAGUAGCAAUAGCAAUGAUCUUUUGUUUGAUGAACUGUGCAGCACAGCACUAUAUUGCCAAUAUUGAGUCAACGCUUUAGGUCCACAAUAUAAUGAGAACGCACGUUGAUUAAGGCUAAAGUUAUCGGUCACACCUCUAUCUUGCCUCAACAAAGCACCAUCCCAUUCAAUUAAACAAUACUCUGACCUUA
ensembl:lncRNA